AACGUAGGACGCAAGCGUUAUCCGGAAUUACUGGGCGUAAAGGGCGUGCAGGCGGUUCCUUAAGUUAGGCGUGAAAGCUCUGGGCUAAACCUGGAGAGGUCGUCUGAUACUGGGGGACUAGAGUGUGGUAGAGGGGUGUAGAAUUCCGGGUGUAGUGGUGAAAUGCGUAGAUAUCCGGAGGAAUACCAGUGGCGAAGGCGGCACCCUGGGCCAUAACUGACGCUAAGACGCGAAAGCAUGGGUAGCGAACGGGAUUAGAAACCCCGGUAGUCCAUGCCGUAAACGAUGUGCACUCGGUGUUCUGACAGGGAAGCCUGUUGGAGUGCCCCAGCAAACGCGGUAAGUGCACCGCCUGGGGAGUACGGUCGCAAGGCUAAA
rnacentral:rRNA from 1 species